rnacentral:rRNA from 1 species
UCUGAGUGCUUGCACUUGGAUGGACUGAGUGGCGGACGGGUGAGUAACGCGUGGGUAACCUGCCUUAUACAGGGGGAUAACACUUAGAAAUAGGUGCUAAUACCGCAUAAGCGCACAGUGCCGCAUGGUCCGGUGUGAAAAACUCCGGUGGUAUAAGAUGGACCCGCGUUGGAUUAGCUAGUUGGCAGGGUAACGGCCUACCAAGGCGACGAUCCAUAGCCGGCCUGAGAGGGUGAACGGCCACAUUGGGACUGAGACACGGCCCAGACUCC